GAUGAACGCUGGCGGCGUGCCUAAUACAUGCAAGUCGAGCGAACGGACGAGAAGCUUGCUUCUCUGAUGUUAGCGGCGGACGGGUGAGUAACACGUGGAUAACCUACCUAUAAGACUGGGAUAACUUCGGGAAACCGGUGCUAAUACCGGAUCAUAUUUUGAACCGCAUGGUUCAAAAGUUAAAGACGGUCUUGCUGUCACUUAUAGAUGGAUCCGCGCUGCAUUAGCUAGUUGGUAAGGUAACGGCUUACCAAGGCAACGAUGCAUAGCCGACCUGAGAGGGUGAUCGGCCACACUGGAACUGAGACACGGUCCAGACUCCUACGGGAGGCAGCAGUAGGGAAUCUUCCGCAAUGGGCGAAAGCCUGACGGAGCAACGCCGCGUGAGUGAUGAAGGUCUUCGGAUCGUAAAACUCUGUUAUUAGGGAAGAACAUAUGUGUAAGUAACUGUGCACAUCUUGACGGUACCUAAUCAGAAAGCCACGGCUAACUACGUG
rnacentral:rRNA from 1 species